UAAGGCACGAAAGCGUGGGGAGCGAACCGGAUUAGAUACCCGGGUAGUCCACGCCGUAAACUAUGGAUGCUAGCUGUGGGGGGUAUCGACCCCUUCCGUAGCGAAGCUAACGCGUUAAGCAUCCCGCCUGUGGAGUACGGCCGCAAGGCUAAAACAUAAAGGAAUUGACGGGGACCCGCACAAGCGGUGGAGCGUGUUGUUUAAUUCGAUGGUAAGCGAAGAACCUUACCAGGGUUUGACAUCCUCAGAAUUUCUCCGAAAGGAGAGAGUGCUUUAUUGAACUGAGUGACAGGUGUUGCAUGGCCGUCUUCAGCUCGUGUCGUGAGACGUUAGGUUAAGUCCUUUAACGAGCGCAACCCUUAUAGCUAGUUGAAUUUUUCUAGCUAGACUGCCCCGGUAACGGGGAGGAGGGAGGGGAUGAUGUCAGGUCAGUAUUACCCUUAUACCCUGGGCUACAAACGCGCUACAAUGGCCGGUACAAUGCGCAGCUAAGCAGCAAUGUGGAGCAAAUCGCAUCAAAGCCGGUCCAAGUUCGGAUAGCAGGCUGAAACUCGCCUGCUUGAAGUUGGAAUCGCUAGUAAUCGCAGAUCAGCAUGCUGCGGUGAAUACGUUCCCGGGUCUUGUACACACCGCCCGUCAAACCAUGAAAGUCACCAACACCCGAAGUCCGAUUCGUCGGCCUAAGGUGGGGGGGAUAAUUGGGGUUAAGUCGUAACUAAGGUAACCA
rnacentral:rRNA from 1 species